rnacentral:lncRNA from 1 species
GCUUCAGAACGGUUGGAUUGUCACUACAAUUUUGAGAGCUCAAGGGUUCAUAUUCCCUGAUUCACCAUCAAGGCCGAAUCUCAUUGAUGAGCAAUACCUAAGUAAAAGCGGUUUCUUUGGAGGCAAGUCAGGGGAUAGAUGGGUUUACAACUUCACGCUGAUGCACAGGGACGGUACACAAGUUCUACUGCCUAACCGAGGCCUCACCAUGCUUGAUAAGCAGUGUAACAUCUCCUUCUAUGUCCUCAAGGAUCAG